GGCGCUUCUCAGGUGACACACCCUGGAAUCAGGCUCCCUCCUCUCUGGUUCCAGGGGCGUCACUCAAGAACCACA
rfam:Myotis lucifugus cont2.22053, whole genome shotgun sequence.